UACGGGGGGGGCAAGCGUUGUUCGGAAUUACUGGGCGUAAAGGGCUCGUAGGCGGCCAACUAAGUCAGACGUGAAAUCCCUCGGCUUAACCGGGGAACUGCGUCUGAUACUGGAUGGCUGGAGUUUGGGAGAGGGAUGCGGAAUUCCAGGUGUAGCGGUGAAAUGCGUAGAUAUCUGGAGGAACACCGGUGGCGAAGGCGGCAUCCUGGACCAAUACUGACGCUGAGGAACGAAAGCUAGGGGAGCAAACAGG
rnacentral:rRNA from 1 species